rnacentral:rRNA from 1 species
GGAGGUAGUGACAAUAAAUCUCAAUACGAAGCCUUUGGUUUUGUAAUUGAAUUGAGAACAAUGUACAAUCGUUAUCGAUAAACAAUUGGAGGGCAAGUCUGGUGCCAGCAGCCGCGGUAAUUCCAGCUCCAAUAGCGUAUAUUAACGUUGUUGCAGUUAAAAAGCUCGUAGUUGAAGUUUAGAUAAUUUAUUGAAAGUGUUUGUAUUCGUACAUUCUACUUUUAUGUAAGUUAUCGACAUCCAGGUGGGUGCCAUGGUUCCGCAAGGAAUCGUGGUACUAGACUGGUCAUUUACUGUGAGAAAAUUAGAGUGUUUAAAGCAGACUUUCUAAAUAGUUUGAAUAGAUUAGCAUGGAAUAAUAAGAUUGGCUUUCAUAGUCGAUUUUUUGGUUUGUUUAUGAAAGCAAGAUUAAUAGGGACAGUUGGGGGUAUUCAUAUUCAAUAGCUAGAGGUGAAAUUCUAUGAUUUAUGGAAGAUGAACAAGUGCGAAAGCA